GUGCUCGCUUUGGCAGCACACAUUCUAAAACUAGAAUGAUACAGAGGAGAUUAGUAUGGCCCCUGUGCAAGGAUGACCUGCAAGUUCAUGAAGUGUUCCAUAUUUUU